UGCCUCGUACUCUGGGAUAAGCCUGGGAAACUGGGUCUAAUACUGGAUAGGACCGCACUUUAGUGUGUGUGGUGGAAAGUUUUUUCGGUACGAGAUGAGCCCGCGGCCUAUCAGCUUGUUGGUGGGGUAAUGGCCUACCAAGGCGUCGACGGGUAGCCGGCCUGAGAGGGUGGACGGCCACAUUGGGACUGAGAUACGGCCCAGACUCCUACGGGAGGCAGCAGUGGGGAAUAUUGCACAAUGGGCGCAAGCCUGAUGCAGCGACGCCGCGUGAGGGAUGACGGCCUUCGGGUUGUAAACCUCUUUCGACAGGGACGAAGCUUUUUGUGACGGUACCUGUAUAAGAAGCACCGGCUAACUACGUGCCAGCAGCCGCGGUAAUACGUAGGGUGCGAGCGUUGUCCGGAAUUACUGGGCGUAAAGAGCUCGUAGGUGGUUUGUCGCGUCGUCUGUGAAAUUCCGGGGCUUAACUCCGGGCGUGCAGGCGAUACGGGCAUAACUUGAGUGCUGUAGGGGAGACUGGAAUUCCUGGUGUAGCGGUGGAAUGCGCAGAUAUCAGGAGGAACACCGAUGGCGAAGGCAGGUCUCUGGGCAGUAACUGACGCUGAGGAGCGAAAGCAUGGGGAGCGAACAGGAUUAGAUACCCUGGUAGUCCAUGCCGUAAACGGUGGGCGCUAGGUGUGAGGGUCUUCCACGACUUUCGUGCCGUAGCUAACGCAUUAAGCGCCCCGCCUGGGGAGUACGGCCGCAAGGCUAAA
rnacentral:rRNA from 1 species